AUGGCUUCCGCCGUCGCUUCCAAGGGUGCCGCGCUGCCCAGCUUCCCCAAGAAGCUGCUCGCCGAGCCGUCCGCGUCCGGUGCGCCCGUGGCCUUCUACGCGCCUCGCCCCGCCGCGGUCAGCCCCGCCCGCGGCCCGAACAGCACCCAGGGCAAGGAGCCCCGCUGGUACGACGACGACUCCAGCGACAGCGAGGACGAGGACGCCGACGCCGGCUACCGCCGCCCCGCCCGCGCCCGCGACUUCGUCGUCCCCAGCUUCCCCUCGCAGGAUGUGCUCGACCCGGUAGGCAUCCCGGCAUGCGUGGACCGUCUGUACGCUCUGAUGGAGGACGGUGCCGCCCCGCCCGGCCUCUCCUCCGCGGCAGGGGCGCCGCGGCGGGGGUGGUGGGUGGAGAAGGACGACGACGACGCGGUGUACCUGACGGUGCCGAUGCUGGGGCUCGGGAAGUAG
rnacentral:rRNA from 1 species